GAUGAACGCUAGCUACAGGCUUAACACAUGCAAGUCGAGGGGCAGCAUGAGGUCAGCUUGCUGACUUUGAUGGCGACCGGCGCACGGGUGAGUAACGCGUAUCCAACCUGCCCAUGACUAAGGGAUAAUCCGUAGAAAUGCGGUCUAAUACCUUAUGUUGUCCGAGGAAGACAUCUGAUUCGGACGAAAGAUUUAUCGGUUAUGGAUGGGGAUGCGUCUGAUUAGCUUGUUGGCGGGGUAACGGCCCACCAAGGCGACGAUCAGUAGGGGUUCUGAGAGGAAGGUCCCCCACAUUGGAACUGAGACACGGUCCAAACUCCUACGGGAGGCAGCAGUGAGGAAUAUUGGUCAAUGGACGAGAGUCUGAACCAGCCAAGUAGCGUGCAGGAUGACGGCCCUAUGGGUUGUAAACUGCUUUUAUACGGGGAUAAAGGGUGUCACGUGUGACAUUUUGCAGGUACCGUAUGAAUAAGGACCGGCUAAUUCCGUG
rnacentral:rRNA from 1 species